GCGGUUAUACAAAUUAUGAAAAUAAAUUUUUUUAGUUUUAGUUAAUUAUUAUUUAUAAUAAAUUAUAAAUAUAUAGGUGAAAUUAUUAUUUAUAAAUAAUUUAUAUUAGUGUAAAUGAAGCUAAUAAAUUAAAAAUUUAAACUAGGAUUAGAUACCCUAUUAUUUUUAUUAAAUCUAAUAAAUUAGAGUAGUAAAAGUUAUGUGCUUAAAACUCAAAAAAUUUGGCAGUAUUUUAGUCUAAUUAGAGGAAUUUGUUAUAUAAUCGAUAGUCCACGAUAAUAUAAUACUUUAUUUAAUAUUUAUAUACCGUUGUUAUAAAAAAAUUUUAUAAGAAAUAAUUUUUUUAAAUUUAUAUAAGAAUAAAUUUCAGAUCAAGGUUUAGUUUAUAAUAAAGAAUAAAUGAGUUACAAUAAAAUUAUUUAUUACAGAUUAAUUAUUUAAAAAUUAUUAUAAAGGUGGAUUUAUUAGUAAAUAAUUUGAAAUAAAAUUAUUGAUUUUAGCUCUAAAAUAUGUACACAUUGCCCGUCGCUCUCAUUAAUAAUGAGAUAAGUCGUAACAAAGUAGGUGUACUGGAAAGUGUACCUAGAAAUA
rnacentral:rRNA from 1 species